UGCGAUGCGAACCCCUUUGUGUUCUUCGUUUCUCUUUGAUCGUGCAGUGACGAUCCAGUUAUCUAAGCAGCACACUACUUGGUCAUCCUAUCCAUCAGUUGCGAUUGCAUUCGGUAUAUAUAUGCACCUCACGGAACCCUCAAACAAUCUAAUCCUUCCGCAAUCUUCUUCAGAUCCUCUUUUAUCUUCUUUCUCCGUUAGAAGCGAUUGUUUCUAAGAGACAUCUUAAUUGACAUUUCAUCCUAGAUUCUUAUUAAUGGCAGUCUGUAAGUUAAAUUUCCCUUUUUGUUCUUUCUGUGCACAUGGAAUUUACAUUUGCUCAAUUUUUUUGCAUCUAUGCUUGACGUUUGAAAAUCUGAAUCCGAUUUCAAAGUCAUGGAUCUGGAAAUUAAUGAUGCGCUGGCGAUGGAAAUUUGUCAUGAUACCAGCAUAAAUUCACGGGACGGUUGGCGUUCCUCUCCGGUGUGUAAGUUUACGGAAACAUAACACUUUUUCAUUCUUUAUGAAUCUACAAGAAAUAAAGGAAUCUUUGUGAUAUACAAUUGUGAUUGAUCUUUAACAGGCUAAGUUGUUUACAUUCAGAUAGAAUCGUUCAUCGUUAUAUGAAAAAGAUACAUGCUUUUGGAUUAACAGAGCAAUCUAUGGCUUGCUAAUUUUGGAGUGGCUAGGAUUGGAGCUCAGAAUCCAAAUGACAUGACUGAAGAAACUGGUACUCUUGGAUACGUGGCUCCAAAGUGAGAACGUCUCAGCCGAGAAGAUCAAGAGUUGAUGCAGAAGCUUCCUGAUUCCAGCAAAUCAAACGCCGUUGAACAACAUAAAAUCUGUUUCACCCAAUUCAAAACUCUCCUUCUUUUACAGGAUUCAUUUGGUAAGAAGCUGAUGGAUAGGAUCCGGCCAACCCAACCCCGGUUCCUGCACAGUACUCUUCGUCCGCCUCUACCACGGUGUCUCAACCCAACUCCGGUUCCUGCCAUGUUGAUGCAGAUCCACAGCGACACUAUAGGUGUUGCCGAAUCUGCACUUUAAUCCUCCUAAGUUCAAUUUCAUGCCGCAAAUUUAGAGACACGGUGUGUCCUUCUUUUUCUCUCUGUUCAUAUACACUUGGAUAUGUAAUAUAAGAAAUUAAAAAUGCUUCUCUUUUGUUGUUCUAUGUGACCAGAAAAGACAGAACUCUGAACAAGUAGAAGAACAAGAUCCACUUAUUAGUUGUUGUUCUUCUUUGAUGUAGUUGAACACAGUUUUGUAUGUUGGAAAUGACUUUGAUCGGCCAGUUUUGUAAAGAGUAUUCACUAAUUAGCUGACGCCUUGGAUCAUGUUAGGUUUUGCUCUUAUUCACUGCCUUUUAACCACUCUUCUGGUGAAAAUUAUAUACACUGCUAAGGAAGAGUUCGAGAAUCUGUGUUUAAUUCUUGGUAUUGAGCUUGAUGCCGUGG